AACCGUACAGGUGACCCUGUCGGAACCUGCUGUUUUACCUGGUGCCUCCGAAUUCCAGUCUGAGCCAGUGGAAGGCCGGAAGGUCAGCAAAGUCAUAAAGACCACUGUAGUGCAAGGAGAGAGAACGGAGAAACACCUGGGGGAUGCUAGCUUAGCUACUGAUCUUCCGUCAGCCAAAGAGGACUUUGAAGAGGACAACACUGAGUAAAGCCAGCACACAGAAGAGGACUGUGAUGAAGGACGGGUAUGGAAAACACGUUCACAUAGAAGAAUUGGAAGACGCGCCAGAAGCACUACCACAGGAUGACCUCCAACAUGACCUCCAGCAGCUUCUUAGACACUUCUGCAAAGAGGACUGGAAACAGGAGGCGAAGUGAGAAGCUGCCACCCCUCAACACCACCACGUAACCAUCCGUCCCGUACGCAGCAUUCAUCUUCUCUAGGUGUAGACGUUAUUCCCUACAUAAUCACUGGAAGACACUGCCAUUUCUACUCGUGCAGAUGCGGUGAAUUCAUUUCUUCCCCCCUGCCCCCCUCCCCCGUAUUCGAUUUUUGGGUUUUUGUUCUUUUUUACCCUGUAAGCUAAUUUGUGACCAAAGAUAGCAUCCUUCAUUCAGGAUGAUUUAUCCACCGAAUCGUCGUCUUUGUGCUGUACUGGGAAUUUGUCAGCAUCGCCACUUCUUGCUGCUCUUUUGCUCCUGCACUGGCUUCAUGAAAUUGCAUUUGUCAAGCCGACUUCAUCUACAGGCCUCUUCAAGUGACUAUGUACAUGCGUCAUAAAAAAAGGGACUUAACAUGUAAACUGUAUAUAGCAAGAGUAUUUGGACUUACAAGACUGCAGAAAACACACUGCCUGCGACUACAAUUAGCAUCAUGGAUUACAAGGUCUGUUGACACUGCUGAACAGCGAUUAAUAAAAUAGCGUUAACACAGUCGACUGCAAACACAGACUGACUGAGGAGGAAGCACUGCAGAUCUGCUGCAUCCGUAAGACUUCCAGUCUAGGGGUCUAUUAUAGCUAAAGGCUCUAAGAGUCAGGCUAAAAACCUGGAAAUUCAGCUGUUCUCAUGAAGGAACAGCUGGCUGUGGCCAUUAAUACUUCCAAGACCUUCAGACAGCCACUUAAAGAUUUCCAGAAAAAGAAAA